AAAAUACCGAGCCCGGCCCAUCUACCCAAAUUAGGGUUUCAAUCCCCCUCCUUAUAAAUACAAACACACUCAUCAACACAAACAUAACUUCUCUUCUCCAUAUCAUCCACAUCCAUCAAGUGUUCUUGCUGCGAAAGAUGCAGCAAGGCAGAUGCAAAACCAACUGACCAACUACCAAGUGAUAUUUCGUACUCUAUAUGAUAGCCCAAACAAGAGGACUCUUCUGGCCAAACAGGUGAGAAUCAAGACUCCCAUUCGUCAUGAACUCAUAGGCAAGUAGGAACUGACCCUGAUCAUGGCACCCUAGAGAUAUUUUUCACAGCAAUUGGCAUAUCAAGGUCUGUGAGAUAUCCCUUGUAAACACAGCCAAAAGCAACAAAAUUAUUCUGAUAGGAAAAUCUUCUGGGACCUGCCCUUUCAAUGUUAGAUUGUGAGCUGCGCUUCUUUUCUGGCAAACCGUCUUUUUCGCCUAAUCCAGACUAACCAGUAAUAUAGUCAAAGAUAGAUACAAUACAAUGGACACUGUUGUAGAAAUUAACUGUGACCUUCGUGUCUCUGCUUGAAUUUUUUUAGAUAACCCCCUGCAGAGUUGGGAGGGAGCCCGAUAGGAGCAAGAAAGAAUGCAAGACAGUGCGACUAGAUUGGGUAUCAAUGGUAAAAGUGAAAUCUGUAAGCUCUCCAGAGUUUGAGCCCCAUAUCUGCACAGUCUCAGCGUGCAAGGCUUGACCUACACGACACUAGUACUUAUAUCCGUUGAUCAAUCAUCAGUUAAGCUGCUCCAACAGAAGGUACAGCAUCCCCUUGAUAGAGUAUGUGGGCAUCAUCAGGACUAAACCGAGGUUUUUGAAAAUGAACUCAACUAUCAACACCUAAAAGGCAAGAGAUUAUGAAGACACGAAGGGUUAUUACCAUGAUCAAAGAAGCGUCAAUAUUUUAGAAGAAACCAGUACUAUAUAAAGUCUGCAUGACCAUGUUAAGAGGAAAUAGUAAGCGUUGAUAUUGGUAUCAAUAGCUUAAUUUCCUGGAACUAGGUUCUAUCAAGUGGAAGAAUUUUGAGAAUAAGAUUGAGGACUUUUGGAUUUAUGCUUCGUGAUUAUUUGCAUCAGUGAAUAAAGACUUAGUGUUUAUUUAGAAUAAUUUGAUGAAUUUAUUAGUUAUUGGUUUUGGAUUUAUGGAGCCGCGUCUCCAAGUUUAUGACUUUUGAUUAUCGGGUUUGACCGCUGCUUUGACUUAUAUAUUAUUUGAGGAUUUUGAUUUAA